rnacentral:rRNA from 1 species
UGCGCCUUGCCAGCCCGCUCAGAAACUCAAAGGAAUUGACGGGGGCCCGCACAAGCGGUGGAGCAUGUGGUUUAAUUCGAUGGUACGCGAGAAACCUUACCAGGGCUUGACAUACGCUGGAAGCGGUCCGAAAGGAUCGUGCCGCUUGCGGCCGGCGUACAGGUGCUGCAUGGCUGUCGUCAGCUCGUGCCGUGAGAUGUUGGGUUAAGUCCCAUAACGAGCGCAACCCUUGUCCUUAGUUACCAGCACGUUAUGGUGGGCACUCUAAGGAGACUGCCGGUGACAAACCGGAGGAAGGUGGGGAUGACGUCAAGUCAUCAUGGCCCUUACGGCCUGGGCUACACACGUGCUACAAUGGUCGGUACAAAGGGUUGCCAAGCCGCGAGGUGGAGCUAAUCCCAUAAAACCGAUCGUAGUCCGGAUCGCAGUCUGCAACUCGACUGCGUGAAGUCGGAAUCGCUAGUAAUCGUGAAUCAGAAUGUCACGGUGAAUACGUUCCCGGGCCUU